GGUCUGCGAAAUGAAAAUAACAAUCUGUCGAUGCAAUUAGCAGAUUGUAAGUUGGUUAAUGCGCAAUUAGAAAGAGAGAUUCACAGUUUCACAGAAGUUCAAAGAAAAAAUGAGCGUAAGACUGUACUUCUUAAAGAGCAAUUUUCCCAUCUUCAGCAAAGGGAGGCUGCCGGGCAAAACACCCUAAGUGAAGUACUAAAAGUGGCUGAAAAGACAACUUUAGAAAGGGAUGCUGUUAAUGAAAUGGCAACAAUUGGAGAAGCAAUGCCAGUUGGUUUUCAGUGAAAAUGAAGUCUUAAUGAAACGUCAGGAGUUGCAAAAUCAAAAGUUAGAAGAGCUCACAGCAUUCUACUGUCAAUGAUAGCCGAAGAAAGUUGAGUGAAUUACGGGAAAAGACGCAAGAAGAAAUCAACUCCCUCGCUUCUCAGCUGCAGGGUCUGCGAAAUGAGAAUAACAAUCUGUCGAUGCAAUUAGCAGAUUGUAAGUUGGUUAAUGCGCAAUUAGAAACAGAGAUUCACAGUUUCACAGAAUUUCAAAGAAAAAAUGAGCGUAAGACUGUACUUCUUAAAGAACAAUUUUCCCAUCUUCAUCAAAGGGAGGCUGCCGGGCAAAACACCCUAAGUGAAGUACUAAAAGUGGCUGAAAAGACAACUUUAGAAAGGGAUGCUGCUAAUGAAAUGGCAACAAUUGGAGAAGCAAUGCCAGUUGGUUUUCAGUGAAAAUGAAGUCUUAAUGAAACGUCAGGAGU